rnacentral:lncRNA from 1 species
UAGAAACUCUUUAACUACUUUACUAUUUUCUGGGCAAAUUUAUCUUUGGACAAAAUUUGUGCAGAAAAUACCAUCAAAACUGUGCAAAUUUAUUCAAAUAUGCAUGAAAACUGUUUCUGAAAAAUAAAAAAGAAAAACUCUAUAAAACACUGUACAACCAGCCAAAGCAACCAACUGCCUGGCUCGGCCCAUGACCAAUACGCGCUCUGUGCACUGUGCAGCCCAGCUCACGUGAGCCUCUCCUUUUUUUUCUUGCUAUCGCUUUCGGCCCAGUAGAGAGCUUAGCCCAGCUUCACUUUAGGCCCACGGUCGAGCUACGACCCUCUUCCGCUGGUAGCACGCUUUUGAUAUUAGAUACGCAUAGAGAGAAUUAAUCAGCAAGCGCACGGAUAUCAGUGAGCACUUAACCUUGGAGAUGUUUCAGAGUAUCAUUAUUUAUAUUUUUACCACUGGGAGAAAGCGUGCAUCAGACUAACCUAAAUCUAUACUUAACCCCCGG